rnacentral:tRNA from 1 species
AGAUUUAUAAUUUAAUUAAAAUACCUAGCUUGCACCUAGGACAUGCUGCCGCUUCAUCUA